AAUGAACGCUGGCGGCGUGCUUUACACAUGCAAGUCGAGCGAGGCCGGGUAGCAAUACCCGAGUCGAGCGGCGCACGGGUGAGUAACGCGUGGAUGACCUGCCUGAGGGUGGGGAAUAACCCGGGGAAACUCGGGCUAAUACCGCAUAAAACCGAGAGGUCAAAGGGGGCCGCAAGGCUCUCGCCUGCAGAUGAGCCUAGGUCGGAUUAGCUAGUUGGUGAGGUAACGGCUCACCAAGGCGACGAUCCGUAGCUGGUCUGAGAGGAUGAUCAGCCACACUGGAACUGAGACACGGUCCAGACUCCUACGGGAGGCAGCAGUGGGGAAUAUUGGACAAUGGGCGAAAGCCUGAUCCAGCCAUGCCGCGUGUGUGAAGAAGGUCUUCGGAUUGUAAAGCACUUUAAGUUGGGAGGAAGGGUAUUCACCUAAUACGUGGGUACUUUGACGUUACCAACAGAAUAAGCACCGGCUAACUCUGUGCCAGCCGCCGCGGUAACAC
rnacentral:rRNA from 1 species